rnacentral:rRNA from 1 species
AUUGAACGCUGGCGGCAGGCCUAACACAUGCAAGUCGAACGGAGCGGCGGACGGGUGAGUAAUACAUAGGAAUGUGCCUGGUAGUGGGGGAUAACGUCAGGAAACGGGCGCUAAUACCGCAUACUAUCAGAUGAGCCUAGGUCGGAUUAGCUAGUUGGAGGGGUAAAGGCCUACCAAGGCGACGAUCCGUAGCUGGUCUGCGAGGAUGAUCAGUCACACUGGAACUGAGACACGGUCCAGACUCCUACGGGAGGCAGCAGUGGGGAAGAUUGGACAAUGGGCGCAAGCCUGAUCCAGCCAUGCCGCGUGUGUGAAGAAGGUCUUCGGAUUGUAAAGCACUUUCAGUUGGGAGGCGUUACCAACAGAAUAAGCACCGGCUAACUUCGUGCCAGCCGCCGCGGUAAUAC